UAGCCAAAAAUGACUUGCCUG
rnacentral:miRNA from 1 species